rnacentral:rRNA from 1 species
GACGAACGCUGGCGGCGUGCUUAACACAUGCAAGUCGAACGAAGUGGCGAACGGGUGAGUAACGCGUAAUCAACCUGCCCUUCAGAGGGGGACAACAGUUGGAAACGACUGCUAAUACCGCAUACUGCAGGAGGGGAUUGCGUCUGAUUAGCUAGUUGGAGGGGUAAUGGCCCACCAAGGCGAUGGUCAGGAGCCGGGGUGGAGGGGUGGACGGACAAAUAGGGGCUGUGACACGGCCCAGACUCCUACGGGGGGGAGCAAGGGGGGAUCUUCCGAAAUGGACGGAAGUCUGACGGAGCAACGCCGCGGGAGUGAUGACGGCCUUCGGGUUGUAAAGCUCUGUUAAGCGGGACGCGGUACCGGAAUAGAAAGCCACGGCUAACUACGUGCCAGCAGCCGCGGUAAUAC